CUAGGCAAACCCCUCUUACACUGCUGGGAACCAAGCCCUGAAGAAACAAAUGCCUUCUUAAUUGUCUUUCUUGAGGUGGUGACACCAAAUACAUUUGAAAGAAGGAUUUAAGUGAAGUGACAAGUGGCUGGUUCUUGUCUAACCUAUUACUUUUAAGCACUACAGGUGUUUUAUGAUUGGAAAGCUUUAGAAUUUACUUCCUGGAGAGCUCCCAAUGGCAAUCAGUACGAAAGUAAAAACCACAGAAAUUGUCUCUCCUGAGAGCCCAACACGAAGGAGAAAUAUGCACUGAAGUCUACUGGUGUGAGACCACAGCAAGAAAGAGUGAACAAGGGAUGUUAAGAAAUUUACAUUUUCCUGAAUGGACAGAGAUGGCAGCUCACCAUGUACCAGAAAGACACUGAGAAUUUGUGAUUUGAUUAACUGUAGACAGAAGCUAGAAGAGGUGAGAAAGAAGGAAAUGAGUGUUGCAGAAUCUGAGAGAAGAAGAUGUGAAAGAUACGAAGAAGAAAAGAGUACUCAGGGAAGAGAAAAGUAUCCUUCAGAAUCGUGACUCAGAAGACACCUAAGCCAGUGCUAAUCUUUCCAAAACCUUACAUGACCUGAAGAACUCACAAAAGCUUUCAAAAGUCAUGAAUGAAGACUAACGUGUACAUUACAGUUUAGAAACAUGGAAUUGAGACUGAAGGACUUGAUGAGGAUGACAUUACAAAUGGUAGAUCUGAAAGUGAAACUCAGAUCCUUAGAUACCAGUUCUUGUGUUUUAAUCUGUCCCAAAUUGCAGUGCUAUUUUCAAGAAUCUACA